AUGGGUAAGUUGCUAGCCUUGAAGCAACUAUAUGGUGAUUGGGAUAUCAGCUUUGACAAUUUGUAUAGGUUUAAGGCACAAGUUGAAAGUUGUUGCCCCGGUAGCAUAGUGCAGAUUGAUCAUCACACAAUAAAUGGUAAAAUCAGGUUUAGAAGAAUUUUUGUUGCUAUGAAACCUUGCAUAGAGGGGUUCCUUAGUGGUUGCAGACCAUAUUUGGCAAUAGAUAGCACAUUCUUGACGGGCAGGUUCAAGGGGCAGCUGGCUAGUGCUACCGCCGUUGAUGGCCAUAAUUGGAUGUAUCCGGUUAGUUUUGGAGUCUUUGAUUCUGAAACUAACGAGAAUUGGAUUUGGUUCAUGCAAUUGCUAAGACAGGCCAUAGGAACACCAAAUGGGUUGGCCAUAUGCACCGAUGCUGGUCAAGCAGUAAUGACAGGGGUGAAAGAAGUGUUCCCAGAAGCGGAACAUAGGGAAUGCAUGUUUCACUUGGUGACCAACUUCAAGAAGAAGUUCCAUGGGAAGGUGUUUGAUGACCACCUAUGGGCUGCUGCUUACUCAUGGAACCCAUAUUUAUUUGACAAACAUUGGGUUGCUAUGGAGACAACAAAGCCAGCUGCAACUGCAUAUAUAAGGAAGUGGCACAAUAGGUUGUGGUCUAGGAGUCAAUUCUCAACUAUAUGCAAGGUGGACUAUGUAACCAACAACCUGGCUGAGAGCUUUAACAAUUGGAUUAAGCACCACAAGUCCUUGAACUUGGAUGACCUCUUUGAUAAGGCGAGACAAUUGAUUAUGAUAUUGUGGAACCGAAGGAGAAAAGUAGCAAAGGAGUUAGAUGGUUUGAUUCUGCCCCACAUAAUUAAGAAGCUGAAUGCAAUGACCAGGGAAUUAAAUUUGGAGGUGGUAGAAAGCUCAGAAGAAGUGGCUGAAGUAACUGCAUUAGGUGGUAGUGGCUUUAGGUUUGUGGUCAACUUGCAAGAGGGGACAUGUUCUUGUCGACAAUGGCAAGUUUCUGGCCAUCCUUGCAAACAUGCUCUCGCAUUCAUCACGUCACUUAGCAAUGCACACAUACGGCACUAUGUGGACUUGUAUUUCUCCGUUGACAAAUAUAGAGCAGCUUAUGCCCAACUAAUUCCUGCUAUGCCGGACAAGACCCAAUGGCCUAAAUCUGACCAUGGAUUCUUCAUGCAUCCACCACUAUUGAAGGCCACGGCUGGUAGGCGUAAAACUGAGAGGUACAAAGGUUGCGGUGAGAAGAAAAGGAAAAGUGGUCAACACUUAUGCCCUAUUUGUAAGGAAUAUGGGCAUCAUUGGCACAAAUGUAAGAAGGGAAACCCAGAGGACAUUGCUGCAAUGAUGGCUGUGAGAGAACCACCAAAGAAAAGGACAAAGACAACCAAAACAGCUGAGUUAUCCAUUGUGCCUUGCGAAGAUGGAGUACCAACAAGAAUGUGUUUUCCCCCAAGCAAAAGCUUGGAAACUACAACCAAAAAAAGGGAAAAC
rnacentral:rRNA from 1 species